rnacentral:lncRNA from 1 species
UACCGAUUCAGAAUUGUUCCGGCGCAUACAUCAAUGGUUCAAUGCAAGAGCAAGAGAAAUGAAAAAUUGACAGAGGCAUGCGUCAAUUGUUCAGAUACAAUUGCAUAGAGGAGAUGGAUAAGUCCGGUGACAAAUCCAGGAUUUGGAGUGUUUACAGUGGCACCACAGAAAUUACCAUCUUUUUUUUAUCAAAACAGGCCGGUUUGGGUUCUGGGCAAGCUGGGCCCGCACGUCUUCCACGAAUGCUUCACUGCCCUCGAAGCUACUGUUGCUCAGCUCAAAUUUCUUGAGGCUUUGUAGGGAUGCUAGCCCAGAAAACAACCCAGCAUUGAUUAUUCCAUCACGGCCACUGUGACCAAAGUCUAACAUAUGGUCUAUUUAGAUACCCUAUGUUAAAGUUUAACAAGUAUUAAAAUUUUAACACUCUCAAAUAGAGUACUAAAGUUUAACACAUUGGGGUGUUUGAAUGGUGUGUUAAACUUUAACAUCUUUGGUGGGAAAUAACUCCAUUGCCCCCUCAUUUAUGGCCGGCGGAGAGCAAGAGGGAGGAGAGAGAAGGGGGCAAUGGUGAGAAAAAGUGGAGAGGGGACCACUUUUAACAACUUUUAACACUCCCUUGAGGUGUUUAUAAAAUUGGGGGUGUUAAACUUUAACAUAUCCCUUUUAACACAUGUGUUUGGGAAACAAUGUGAUAAAAAAAUGUUAAAAUGAGGUGCUAAACUUUAACACCGGCCUUAGGCGCUGCUCCGUCUUUAAACUGCACAGAUUUGACGUCGGUCUCACCUCCUGAGCAUCUCUGCACGCCAGUCAGUUGCAGCGCUACUAGACUAGUUCUGUUGUUGAUCAGUCGAAUGAGAUCUGCCUUGGACUUGUUCUGUUGCCGCUGUGCUUCCUCGAUGCCUGACAUUGUUGUUGCACCGGCAAAGCCGGACAGCCCAGCGUCCUCUGCAGACUUGGAUCCAGCAGCGCUCUUGACGAGUUGGCAAUGCGGACAUGCGGUGCCGCUCCCGCAGCGUGCUCGGGAGGCGCCACCACGAUGGCUUGUUGAGAUGAACGGAACAAUCUUGGAGGCAAUCCUCAGCAUCAUAGGCCACAUCACACCCAGGUCAUGACUCAUGAGCACCUUGUGGUCGUCUCACUCCUCGUGCACGGCCCUCAGGAAAGCCUGCAUCAUCUCGAGAUUUUUCCUGAUGAAAGCAUGGUCGCGCUGGACACCGAGCUGCAAGGCCACCACCUCCGCUACAACGGAUUUGGCAUAGCCAAGCGCUCCAUACAGCACAGACUUUCCCAAGCUCAGCGUUGUGGCCUCCAUCAGUGGCGGACCCAACGACUGAAUCGAACCCGGCGUAGCCUAAGGCUGCCGCCUUUCUUGUCUCCGGCUCAAGGUGUUUGCGGCUGAUUUGACCUUGUAAUUUGUGAGCUAGAGCCCAGGCAGCCGCCUAGGGUCGCCGGCCCUGGGUCCGCCCCUGGUCCUCUCUGAUGUGCUGUGUGCUUCUGUGGAUGGGGGUUGCUGCUGCUAAUGGAGUGAUGGUUGGUGGCCUGGUGCUGUCAAGAAGAGUCAACCUUGGAGUAAAGAAGAGUAAUGAUGGUUGGUGGCCUGGUGCUGUCAAGAGUAGCUUCUAGGAUGUCUGAAAAAACGGAUGCCUUCAUUCAUCAAAAGAAAAAAGCCCAGAAGCACGAGACGUACAAAAAUCCCAGAAGCACAAAAGCUGGAACAAAUACUAGAUCCUAAUACUUGUAAGAGAGAUCAUAUAAAAACAUGAAGGUUCUAAAAAUAUAUAUGAAAACAUGACAUGCAUUGUAUUGGGUAAACGGAGAGGAUCGGAGGGCGCAUGGACCCCGGGAGAACCUGCACCAGAUCAUAUCACUAUGAAGCCAGAAACAAUUAAACAUUGAAUAUUUAGAUACUAAUUAAGAGUAUUAAAUAUAGAUUAAUUAUAAAACUAAUUGCAUAAAUGGAGGCUAAUUUGAAAUAAUGGGCCUAGCCCAUAGUAAUUUUACAAUUCCAAAUAAAUCUCAAAGGCCCAUGUGGCCAAGAGGUGCAGUGGUGCAAGUCUUUAGUCCCAUAUUGCUAGUGGAGGAGAGGAUGACCAACUUAAAUAUGGAAGUUGUCUCCACUCCUCCAAGCUAUGUGUGUGGGGAGAGAAGGAGAGCUCCACACGCGCGUGCUCCGCCCCGCCCCGCCCGGCGGGGCAAAGGGCGCGGGCGUGCGGCACCUGCGUGAAUGGUCCGCCGGAAUUCGGCCCCUCACCUUGCGGGGGCGUGGCUUUUGCUGUUUUAUUUUUUGGUUACUUGGUCCUUAAGUCAGUGAGAUAUAUGGAAUCCUAACCGACCUCUACCAAAAAUAGAUCUAUUCGAGCUAGGAUUUUUGCCUCCUCUCGCUGCUGCGCCACCACCGUAGUCUACUCCAUCCCAAUUGUCGGCGUGCACCGGCGAUUGGGAGAGUAGGUCUCUGGAAGCAUCGUCUUCAGCGAUCCUGCAUCGGGAGAGGGCGAAAAAGGUUUUUGGGAAGCUCUCUGCGCGACUGCUCGAUCGCUUCCUCCGCUUCGUCAAGUUCUUCAUCGACUCCUUUACCACGGCUCGUCUACCUCUUUGUCACUCAGGCGUCGCUCGCCGUCGCGAACAACGUGAGGCUGCUGAUCGUCGUCGCCGGCUGUACCCGGUAGUCGUCCAGGAGCCAAUCUUCAUCAAGAAAGAAACGUACGAUCUCUUAUCUCAAAUUAUGUCUUCCAUACUAGCUAUUAUGAUCUGUUGCAGUCUGAUAGCACUGGAUAGUAUGGUAGAAUAUGUGAUUCUAUUUGCAAUGAUAGACUUGUCUAGAUCUUGCGUAGACAUGUUUAGUUUAAUCUGCUAUCUGUUCAUCGUAUUCAUGAUUUAUUUCUGGAUUAAAUUAAAACUAAAAGUGCUUAUAUAUCCAACAGCUAAUUCGCGAAAUGAAUCUAUUAAGCCUAAUUAAUUAAUGAUUAGCACACUAAUUAGGUUUAAUAGAUUCGUCUCGUGAAUUAGCCUCCAUCUGUGCAAUCGGUUUAUAAUUAGCUCAUAUUUAGUCCUCCUAAUUAGUAUCUAAAUAUUAUAUAUGAUAGGAACUAGACUUUAGUCGUGGAACCAAACAUUGUGCCAGAGAGCAACUAAUUAAAAACACGACUUGCAUUUGGUAAACGGAGAGGAAGGAGGACUUGGCACUUGUUUUAAGAGUGCAUCGAGAUAGGAGUUGCGAGCAGAACCAACCACAAACACCGCAUCCUCAUCCAACUUGAAAGUUGAAACCACAAAGCACUGGUAGAUGGCAAGCAUCAAUGAAGAAGAAGCUCCUAGUUCUCCAAAUGCUCCGACAGUAGCCAUGGACGCCAAGCUGAUGGUGGCCGCAGACCGUGGCGAUGUCAAGAAGUUGAAGGGUCUGCUGAACAAGGAGGAUGCCAUGGCGAUGGUUGUGGUGACGGCGGCGACGAGCAAGAAGCCUUCCAAGGAGGACCAGUUCCCUGCUGGCCGCAUCAAUCCCCUCCUGCUGGCAUCUGCGUGCGUUGGCUCCUGGAAGGCACUGAACUUCCUUCUCGAGAGGGAAGACGCAAAGAAGGCACCAAUGGUGGCUCCUACUCAAGAUUUCCUUGAGUUGCUAGCAGGAGGCAGCGGCACCAAGGGAAGAAGUGUGGUGUCAGCUGCUGGUGAUGUAGAAGAGGGCGUUGACCACGAGCCUGCUCCGCCUGCAGCAGGAGCACUUCUCAAGGGCGUCACUCCAGAUGGGGACACGACACUACAUGCAGUUGCCAGCAAUGGAGACAACGGCGAUGAUUUCUUGAAGUAUGCUGGCAUCAUCUGUGAUCGGGACAGGGACCUCCUGUUUGCGAAGAAUCACAUGGGCGACACACCAUUGCAUUGUGCUGUCCGUGCUGGGAGCUCCAAAAUGGUUUCUCGUCUCAUUGCUCUAGCUGAACAUGAGGGUGCCGAAGGGAAGCUCAAGCUCUUGAGAAUGGAGAACGAGCGUCACGAGACGGCACUGCAUGAGGCUGUCCGGAUUGAAGGUGGUAGAAUUCUGGAUGAUCAGGAGACACUUUAUGCUGUCCUAACUGAUGAAGACAUUAGAAGCCCGGGUCAUAAGGGUGAUGCUGACGGCGGCGGUGCACCAGAAGAGAAGAAUAUGGUCAGGCUGCUAAUGGAUUCUGAUCCCGAAUUGGCUAAUUAUCCUGCCAAAGGCAUUUCGCCUUUGUGCCUAGCCAUCUUGCUGGAGAAGGAUACCAUUGCAGUCACUCUUUAUGAAAAGAGUGGCGGCAAUCUCUCCUACUCUGGACCAGAUGGACAAAAUGCAUUGCAUGUUGCGGUUCUCCAAGCUACUAGUACAAACACAGGUACCAACUAGAUGUGUCAAUUCUGUUAUAUAUACAUACUGCUUGCAUACCAUUUUUGCUUGUCAUAGGGCCAGUACAAUACAAAUAAUGGUUUAGAAUCAACAUGCUUAAACAUUAAUUCUGCCCUAGAGUUCAUUUAUCUGAAAAAGAACUAUCAUGGUCGUGUUUUCAUUUUCCACAGAUCAAAAAGAUGAUCUUGAGUCGUUGCACUUUAACAUUAUGUUUUGGGAUUUUUAAUUUACAUACAUCGCCAUUUUAUCCCAUUUUUGCUCCGUGACACUUACCUAUGUCUUUUUUCACAUGUUUUGACCAAUGUCGUUUAUUCAUUAACACCCAGUAUGUAAGUUAAUGUCUCAUCUGUAAUCAUCUCUACAUAUCACAUUGUUGAUUUCCUCUAUAUAAGGGAGAAGUCCAUUCUUGGGCAUCCCACUCUUUUUAAAGUUCGAUUUUGGCCAUUCGAUUCAGAAACCAAAAUCCAUUGACCAAUGAACGAGCAAAACCGGACAAAUUUGGUCAUCUUGCUGGUUUAGAAGGUGCUUAUUUGGAUCUUAUUUGUUCAUGUUCCUAAUGUAUUAUUGCUUAUAAUCACGCCUAUUAUUUAUUGAAUUUAUAGUUUUGUGUUACAUUAGACCUAGAGAUCAACCAAGAGGAUCUAGCGACUGUGAGUAUACAAAAGAUCUGGAAGAUGACAUGAACCUCUCCGGUGCCAUGCUCUACCACAUACAAAACAUAUUUAGGUAUCGCAACUAACAUGCCUUCGCUAGCCUUCCAAAUAAGAUUUAGUUAAUUUGACUUCAACAGAUUUGGUUCCCUACGUGGAGUAUGGAUCCUUUUAGUUGAUCUUCAGGUCUAAUAUAGUGUGAAAUUAUAAUUCAAAUAAAUAAAAGGGUGUGACUACGAGCAAUAUAACACCAGAAAUUUGAACAAAUAAGAUCAAAAUAGCUCCAAAUUGAUCACCAACAGAGAGAUUGUAACUUUAUAAAAAACAAUUUGGUGCUACAUAUUUAUCUGAUUUGAAAUAAGUUAGUUAUAAAUUUUCAGAGAUUAGCCCAACUUUUUAAUUUUAGAAAAUAUGUGUAGGGAGAACAACAUUCGAAACAAGAUAGAUGGCCAAAUUUGUCUUAUUUUGGUAGCCUAGAUGCUCAAUGAUUUCAGGUUUUUGAGUUGGAUGGUCAAAAUCAGACUCCAGCAAAAGUUGGAUGGCCAAAGGUGGACUUCUCCCAUUAAAAAUUCCCGUUAUUUGGAGAGCUAUUGAGGUUUAGAUAAUAUAUAUGAUAGGCACACUCAAGCUCAAUUUUUUUCGUUAACAUAAAAUCAUAUUCGCAGUGAUGGUAAAAGUACUACUUAGAUGGAACAGGAGCCUUCCUACACAAGGGGACAAACAUGGGAGUACGCCUCUUCACUUCGCUUCGUCUCUGCACUGUCCAUUUGGUUUCUUCUGGUACCCUCAUUGGACUCGUAAUUAUUGGCGUACCAGGAUUUCCAACAUAGUGGCAAAAGUAUUUAAAGCUAACCCAGCAGCUCUGUAUCAAGCAGACAACAGCGGACUGUUUCCCAUACAUGUCGCUGCCUCCAUAGGUACCGUAGAAUUUUUUCUUCGGAAGUCCCCUAGUAGUGCUGGAUUGCGCAAUGCUAAAGGAAGGACGUUUCUUCAUGUUGCCGUUGAGAAAAGAAGAUGGGAGAUAGUCUCAUUUGUUUGUCAGACUCCAUCUGCAGAAUGGAUUUUGAAUAUGCAGGACAAGGACGGAAACACGGCACUGCACUUAGCUAUCAAAAGUAGGAUGCUUAUGAUGUGCAGUGCUCUACUUGGGAAUAAGAAAGUGCAUCUACAUUUAUCAAAUGUCAAAGGGCAUACUCCCCUUGAUCUUUCCAGAAGCAAUCUUCCUCGGGGCAUGUACUAUGCUCUGGUAAUAUAUUUUGACCUUAACAUUAAGAAUUUUCUCCUUCUGUGGGCCCAUUCUGAAUUUGUCGCUCAUGCUUCUGUGGCUGUUUCUUUUCAGACCGCUGAAAGCCGGAUACAUAUGGCUCUCAAAUUAUUUGGUGCAAAGCACAGUGGUCUUCGCUGUGAUCACAUUGAGCAAAAGUAUAGACGUCCUCUGAACCAAAAGGAGAAGAAGAAACAAUCAAAUUUGAUUAAAGAUACAACGCAGAUGUUUAUUGUCGUUGCAAUCCUGAUAGCAACUGUGGCUUUCGGUGCAACUUUCGCCAUUCCUGGAGGUUACAAAGCAGAUGAUCAUUUGAAUGGAGGCACACCAACACUUGCUGGGAGGUAUAUUUUCGACGCAUACAUGAUGGCCAACACGUUGGCUUUUGUUUGCUCCACUGUAGCUACUCUUGCCCUCGUAAUAUCUGGAUCUACUAUGGUUGACUUGGGCACCCGGCAAUGGAACUUGAAUGCAGCUGUUUUUAUGUUGUCGAGUUCAGUCACAAGCAUGACGGUUGCUUUUGCACUUGCUGCGUAUAUGGUGCUAGCUCCGGUUGCUCGUAGCACUGCUAUUGCGAUCUUUAUGAUUAGCCCUCUCCCUGUGCUAUAUAGAAAUGUGGAGAAAAUAUUUAAAUGGGGUUUUCUUGCACGGGCGCGACUUGUUAGGAUGGGACCAAUCCCAACAAUAUUGAAUUUUUUCGCAGUGGUGGUCAUUCAGAUGAUACUGAUGGAUCUUUGGCCCCUCAUUGCUACCUUUGCUUGGGCUGCAUUUGCAAGGAUCCACCACUGAUUGGGGAGAACCGCGAAAUAUAUGAGAAGGGAUGAGGCAUUAAUCAUGAUUUUAACCUUAAAUGUUGAGAUGUUAUGUUACCGUAGUUUCGGUGUGCGUUGUACUGCCUUGUGUGACUUAAUUUGUUUGGUUAGACUGCUUUGUGUGCUUUUAAGUUAUCAAUAAAUUAAGUGAUGUUACUUCUACAUGUCUUGUACAGCUGCAUUGAGUUCAUAGAUGAGUGCUCCCCAAACUAUUCAUUGUUUUCCUUUUCGUAACGUUGGUCCGAUCACAGUUUCUAAAUAUGACAAUUCUCAUGGAAUUCAGAUAAAUGAGUGCUCCCCAGCUUUGGACAGGGUCGAAUUGUCAUAUUUUACCACAAUCAAGCAGAUGCAUCCAUGUAACCUCCGAUGGCAAGAGUAUUUGCUGAAUAUCAGAGAGUUGUCAGAUCACAAAUUUCAGUUCCAAAAACAGAAAAUUUACCCAGCCGACAAACACAUAUCAAGCCAGAAAGAUUUUAUUCUUACUUUCUCAAAUAGAGAUGGACUACUAGGCAUGAGGACUCGACCGACGAGAUGGGAGAAUGAACAAAUAAGAACGACGGGCAAAAGCAAGAACAGCGAGAAUGCUAGAAAUUUAGGUAAAGAAGUAAAUGCAUGGACCAAAUCAGAGAUGAGGAGCUGACAAUGCGACGGCGCCUGCACAACUACUACUCUACCAUAGUGUUCUAGAUCGAGUUUCGUGCUCUUCGAUAACCCUUACAAGUCCAGACCUCACCCUAAUAUGCAGUGGCUUGGUCAUUAACGAAAGAACACAUUAACUGAACACUAGGUAUUACCAUCCGGCAAGCGCCUGCUCAGAGCUAAUUGAAGCGGAGCUUGCUGUAGGCCGUCAGGUGUUGCAACGUACGAAGAUGGUGAAGUCGCUCAGUCGUUCUGUUUGUGGCCGACUUGCUCUGCAUCACUAAGACUGACGAAACUGAGGCCUUGUUUAGUUGCUAAAGUUUGGAGGUGCCAAAUUACUGUUACAGCAUUGUAGCACACUGUAGCGUUUCGUUUGUAUUUGUGAAUUAUUGUCCAAACAUUGACUAAUUAGGCUCAAAAGAUUUGUCUCGCAAAGUACAACAAAAUUGUGCAAUUAAUUUUUAAUUUCGUCUACAUUUAGUACUCCAUGCAUGUACCGCAAGUUUGAUGUGAUGGAGAAUCUUCUUUUUACAUAGUGCCAAAGUUGGGAGUUGGGGGUGAACUAAACAAGGCUGAAUGAAUAAAAGGUCAAGUAUGCAUUUGUCUUCCUGACACGAGAGGGAACAGAUGGGGUCAAAUUUGUUAGUCAAACGCCUCAGCUCUGGCCAACGGCCUGGCGCAACGGCCGCGCCCAGUGCGCGCACGCACGCCCACCACGGCGUCCCGCUCCCUCCGCUCGCUCCCGCGGGACUCGUUCUCAUCUGCUCAUAGCCGAUAGACUCAAUGUACAUGUAUGAAUAUGUAAUCUCAUGAUCAAUACAAGCUGUGCAGUUUGAUCUCUCUCGAGUAUUCACUCUCUUCAAAAUUGAAGAGGUUUCAGAGAUGAAACAACAAGCAGCAGAAAUAUUGCUUACUGAGCAGAGACAGGUUUUGCACAAGUAUAAGCAUUUGACACCUCUCCUAUUUAAAUGCAUGUUCUUGCGAUGGGGGGCAGAGCAACGAGCGCCCCAGAGUGGAGGACGAAGAGGAGAGAGGAGAGGCGGUGGGGCGGCUUUUCUGGGGCACAGUGCAGGCGCACCGUGGGCAGGGCGCUAGGAGCGGCACGGGCGCAAGGCGGCUGGGCACGACGACGCCAGCGAGCAGCAUGCCACGGCGCACGGCUGCAGGCCUGCUGACGGCAGGCAGGCGGCGGCGAGCGCGGCGCAGAAUUAGUCCAGCAGGCUGAAGCAGUGCAGCACCAGUUUGGGAGAAAUCGAGCAAGUACUAAGGUACCCAGGUAUUUAAAUGCGAUUCUCUCUACAAUUAGCCCCUGUUUUGUUGUAAUUUUUAGAUGUUCAGCAUUUGGUUAAGGAUUUGAUGGCAUAUUGCCAUUGGUCAAGAACUUAAAAUGUAAAGAGCACAUCUCGUCAAGAGAACCAAAAAGAAGGAAAAAAAAAACGUGGGCACACAAACGCAACUGGGAUAGAGGCGCACACACACUCACCACCCAGGAUAGUAGGAUAAUGACAAGACACACUACCGAUUCAGAAUUGUUCAGGUGCAUACAUCAAUGGUUCAAUACAGGAGCAAGAGAAAUGAACCAUUGACAGCGGCAUGCGUCAAUUGUUCAGAUACAAUUGCAUAGAGGAGAUGGAUAAGUCCGGUGACAAAUCCAGGAUUUGGAGUAUUUACAGUGGCACCACAGAAAUUACCAUCUUUUUUUUUAUCAAACAGGCCGGUUUGGGUUCUGGGCAAGCUGGGCCCGCACGUCUUCCACGAAUGCUUCACUGCCCUCGAAGCUACUGUUGCUCAGCUCAAAUUUCUUGAGGCUUUGUAGGGAUGCUAGCCCAGAAAACAACCCAGCAUUGAUUAUUCCAUCACGGCCACUGUGACUAACAUCACAAGCUUAGGCGCUGUUCCGUCUUUAAACUGCACAGAUUUGACGUCGAUCUCACCUCCUGAGCAUCUCUGUACGCCAGUCAGUUGCAGCGCCACUAGACUAGUUCUGUUGUUGAUCAGUCAAAUGAGAUCUGCUUUGGACUUGUUCUGUUGCCGCUGUGCUUCCUCGAUGCCUGACGUUGGUGGACUUGGAUCUUGAGAUGGCUUCUUGAGAUGAACGGAACAAUCUUGGAGGCAAUCCUCAGCAUCAUAGGCCACAUCACACCCAGUUCAUGACUCAUGAGCACCUUGUGGUUGUCAGAGAUCACAUGACGAUGAACACCGGCGAGCUCCCAGGAACACACGAACACGAGUAGACGCAAGAGGAUUUUGUGCUGUGAUGAAGCUGCAGCUUUUCUGUUGUUGUAUUCUCCCUUUUAUUGACCAAUUACAACCGAAAAGAAAAUGAGCGCAUGAGCGCUUCUCUCGCCACGACAAUGCCGCGUCCAUCCCCACAAGGCACGACGCGAGAGUGUAUCCCGUAGCCCAAAGACUCGGUCUGCUGCGAGCUAUUCUCGCCACGACCUGAACUGACAUGCAAGACAAUCACACAACUCGUGGGCUCAUUCAUGUGACAGACACAACACAAAAUAAAGUAACCAAGACACGUACAAGAUUUGGUUAACACAUCUCCCCCCCAAACCUUGUACCUUACUGGAUGUUGACGACGCUGAUCCUGGAACGGAGCUCCGUGAACUUCAGCACCCAAGUGGUUUUGUCAGAAUGUCCGCAAGCUGCCCAUUGGUGCCAAUGUGUUGGACCUUCACCCUGCCUUCCUCAAUGCAUUCUCUGAUGUAGUGAUAUCUUGUUUCAAUAUGUUUACUGCGAUCAUGGAACACAGGGUUCUUACUGAGCAUUAUUGCAGAUUGGUUGUCAAUCUUCAAAGUGAUGGCGCCUGCUUCCUCUCCCCUGAGCUCAGCAAGAAGACACGCCAACCACACACCCUGGCAGGCAGCUGUCGUAGCUGCAAUGUACUCUGUCUCACAUGAGGACAGAGCAACAACCUUCUGUUUUUUCCAGGUGAUCAAAUUGUUGUCGAGGAAGAAGACACCCGUGGUGCUCUUGCACGUGUCGAUGUCGCCCGCAAGAUCACUGUCGCUGUAGCCGACGAGUUCAGCUACUCCAAUCCUCCUCUUGUAGUGGCAGCCGUAGUUGACAGUACCUGCAACAUAGUGCAGCACUCUUUUCAUGGCCGCCAGGUGCUCAGCCGUUGGAGAAGCCAUGAACCUAAUGAUGUAGCCAACAGAAAAUGCCAAGUCCGGUCGCGAGUUCACCAAGUAUCUCAGUGAGCCCACAAUCCUUUUGAACUCGGUGGCGUCGACAGGUGGAGCAGUGCUGGCGUUGCAAAGCUUGAGACGAGGCUCCAUGGAAAUCUGACUGGGAUUGCACCCAGCCAUGCCGGCCAUCUCCAAGAUCUUCGCUGCAUAGGCACCCUGACUUAAGUGAUGUCGUGUUCGGUUUGUUUAACUUCCAAGCCGAGGUAGUAGUGCAGUAGCCCAAGGUCGCUCAUCUGAAAUGUGCCAUUCAUCUCCUGCUUGAACAGCUCCAGUUUGCCAUGGUCACUACCGGUGAUGACGAGGUCGACGACGUAGACUCCCACCACCAGGCGAUGUUCUCCCUGUUGGAAAAUUCAGAGAUGGUCAAAAGGCUGAGAAAGAGGAAGGGGAGGAUAAGGAAACACGCUCGAGACUCGGACUCGCGACCGACACCUCGCACCUUGAUCGGAGGUGCAAUCAACUUGUGAUUGCGGUCCCAGGUCGCCCAGCACCAUAAUAAAAGGGGGGCCCGGCUGGUUUUGAGGCUAACCUAAUAAAGGCCAAACCCACGCACGUCCCCUAACAUUAGCAUCCCGAUCUCUGGCGGUGCUGAAGCCAUCUGAAGGCCAUCGCCGUCCUACUAUCGCUGUCUCUGGCCAAACAAGGUGGAGCCAGAGGGUCGAUGUGAUCUCCUACGAGCUAGUACAACUACAGCAACAACAUCCCCAGCUUCGUCUCCCACUCUCAUGGCUGGAUCAUCACCCAACAUUGCUGCCGGUUGUGCUUCCAAUCUUUACUAAGAUGUGUUCAUGUUCUAGGUGUUAAGAUCGUGGUUUUUGUUAAUUUAAGCAAUGUAGAUGCAAGGCGUCGGCGGCACGCUCUAGCUAGCGGCGGGCAGCGGAUGGCGCUGGAACUUCCGGAGCCACCACUACGCCUAAGAUGCGCUCGCUCUGCCAUCAUGCCCCGCAGUGGACCCCCUUGACGGAUCCGCUCACGACUCGGUCGCACGCCAGCUCUGGCAAGAGGGCCCACGGUGGAGCCAGGCAAGGGCAGGCGGGCAGGUGGCGACCAGCUGGGCUAGGGGAGGAGAGGAGAGUGGCGGCGCAGAGGCAAAAGAAGGGGAGGGCUGCAGCGGAGAGGCUGGGGGAUAGGGGAGUCGAAUGCACUAGGGCUUUCCCCGGAGCCGGUCGGCACGCUUUUUUUAUUCCUCCAAUCCACGCGCUCGACUGUCGGAUCUGAUGGAUGGCGGCGAUUGAGGCAACCGGCCGCAGCGCGCGCCGUUGGGCCAAAAUGGCGACCAAGCCAUUAGCUGCUGGGCUCUAGCCCAUGGCAUGCGCAGGGAGAGCUGGCCGCAUGCGGGCUGGGCUUGCACGGGCCUCUAGCAAGCCGUAAGUUAGGCCGCGCCUCGCCGCCAUGUCAGCUGGGCUGCCUUGCGUCUGCUAGGCUGCGGUUUCUUGCGCGUUGGGCCGCCGGCUCGCACGAGCCGUUGUUGUUCAAGCUGCACAUGAGGACUUCUCUGGAGGUUGACUUGGGCCGCUCGCACGGGCCACUGUCAGGCUGCUGCUAAGCGAGCUGGGCCAAAAGGAUUUGGGCCGCUGUGGGCUGAUUUUGAGCUCAGGCUGGUUUUAAGUUUUUCACAGCCCACUCACUAUUUUGCCUUUAGCCUUUAGUAUUUAUCCUUUGUGCAAUUUAAUUUCCAUGAGUAAUUAAUUAUGCUAAAUUACUUUUUGUAUAGCAUAAUUAACCUGAUUAAUUUUAAGUGAUAAUAUUCUAAGUAAAUAGAACCAAUGUGAAAUUUAUUUAGAAUUAUUUCAUGUUUAUUUGGGCACAUAAUUAAUUUCUAACCAACAUUGUUAUUAAUUGGUUGUCCAUAAAUAUUUUAAUUAAGUUAUUUUGCUUCUACCCAACAGUGAUGCAAAAUUAUUUCAUGUCAUUUUGCCUUUGCUUCUGCCAACGGUGAUAUAAAGUUGUUUAUUUAUGUUUUUAAUCGAGUCAACGUAGAUUAAAUUUAUUGCUUAUUAUUGUCAUCAUUAUUGAUUAAAAUUCUUUCAUUCAGACUUGACUCCUUCCAGCGUCAUAAGCUAUAUCAAUGGCAUAGAGAAACUUGGAGGAGGCAACUUCACCACCUGGAAGAAUCAGAUUGGCUUGGUCCUAUGCGUUAUGGAUCAGGACCACUCCACGAGGGACGAUCUUCCUAUUGCUCCUACUACUCAAGGGGAUAAUGAUACUACCCUUCUUGAGCACACUAUUGCCUAUAGAAAGAAAAGGAGCAGUGGGAGUGAUCAAACAGGGUGGUCCUUAUGAUAAUGGAGCAGACCACAAACCCGGCAAUAAGGGGAGCUAUUAAGAAAAAUCCCAAAAUGCCAAAUACUUUAUGGAAAAGGUUGAGGAGUAUUUCAAAGGCUACACUAAAUGUAAUGCUAGAACCAUCAUGUCUAAGUUAAUGAACACUAAGUAUGAUGGGCAAGGCAGUGUUAGGGAGCAAAUCACGAGCCUCAUUGACCUAAGGGAUAAGCUCAACGACUUGAAGUGCCCUCUCAAUGAUGAGACACUGCUUCACUACAUCAUGCUUUUGUUGCCCUCAGUGUUUGAUCCCUUCAUGAUCAACUAUAAUGGCAGCGACGCGAAGUGGGAUAUUCCCACAUUAAUCGCGAAGUGCAGUCAGGAAGAAGAGAGGCAAAGAUCUGAGAAGGGCGAUUUUGCCAAUCUCAUUAGGCACGAGGUGAAUAAGGGCAAAAAUAAGCAAUUUAGUAAAUAAGGUCAUUUAGUAAGUUCAUAACAAUUUCUGUAAAGCAAGGGGCAAAGCUUCUAUGACAGCUUCCCCCUCAUUGCCAUCGUCGGCCUUCCCCAGCUCCCCUCCUUGUUUGGCCCGAGCCAAAAAGAGGUUGAUCCACUUCAUUCGCCAAGCGAAUGAUCAUCGCUUCACGGGAACAACAAAAACCACCAUCUCGCUCCUUCCUUUCUUCGAUGCUACCUUUUUUUUUCCAAGGGAUGGGGUUGGGUGGCCAUCCUCAUCUAAGGGUGGCCAUCCUAAAUGCCAUCACUGCAAGAAUUAUGGACACAUUAAGAAGCACUGUGCUCAUUUUAAGGAAUGGUGCGUCAAAAACGGUAAUGAUGAUUUUAUUUCUAUAGUCGAUGAGUCCCUUUAUGUUGAUUUUCCAUUAAGUACAUGGUGGAUUGAUUCUGGUGCAACCAUUCAUGUUACUAAUUCCUCACAGGGAGUACGUGGUGCGUGGACUAUAAGAAAGGGGAACGUGCCAUUAAAGUUGCAAAUGGAGUUGACGCUGAAGUUGAGGUGUUGGAGAUCUCACAUUAGAACUUAGCAGUAGCUUCAGGCUUCAUUUAAAUAAUGUUCUUUAUGUACCAUUGCUUAAAAGAAACUUGAUUUCUAUUUCAUCAUUAGAUUUUGGUGGUUAUUCCUACAACUUUGGGAACAAGUGUGUAAUAAGUUUUGACAAUAAGAUUAUUUGUCAUGCCCCUUUACAUGAUAAGCUUUACUUGUUGCCUCUAAGUACUAAUUCUUCUGUGAUGAAUGUAAGUGAUGUCAACCAUAAGUGAAAGAGAAAUAUUGAGACUUCGUCGAAAUUGUGGCACUUCCACUUAGGCCACAUUUCGAAGGGGAGGUUGGAGCGUCUCAUUAGAGAAGAGAUACUUCCAAACUUAAAUUUCUCUGACUUAGAUCAAUGUGUUGACUAUAUUAAAGGAAAAUUUGAAAAACAAAUUAAAAAGGAUGGAGCUAAGUGUAGUUUAGGAUUAUUAGAAAUAAUUCAUACUGAUAUAUGCGAUCCAUUUAAUGUAAGAUCAGUGGAUGGUUAUAACUAUUUCAUUACCUUCACUGAUGAUUUUUCCCGUUAUGGAUACAUCUAUCCCUGAAGCACUUGAUAAGUUUAAAAUCUUUAAAGUUGAGUAGAAAAUCAGCAUGACUUAAAGAUCAAAGUAGUAAGAUCAGAUAGGGGAGGGGAGUAUAUUGGGAAACACUCCACAUAUGGACAAAUUAUGGGACCCUUUUGCCAGAUUUCUCCAAGAUAAUGGCAUAGUAGCUCAGUAUUCCACUCCUGGUGAGCCUCAGCAAAAUGGUGUUGUUGAGAGAAGAAAUCGCACCUCUAUGAACAUGGUGCAUAGUAUGCUUAGUACCUCUAUGCUGCCAGUGAGUCUGUGGAUGGAAGCUUUAAAGAUUGCCGCACAAAUUAAUAAUCGUGUUCCUAGUAAGUCAGUCCCUAAGACUCCUUAUGAAUUUUGGACUGGUAGGAAGUCUAGCAUGAAUUAUUUACAUGUGUGAGGUUGUGCAGCUGAAACAACGGUAUUUAAUCUGCAACUUGGAAAAUUAGAUCCUAAGACCGAAAGCUGUUAUUUUAUUGGAUAUCCGAAAAAGUUAAAGGGGUACCGCUUUUAUUGUCCUAAGCAUACCACUAAGUUUGUAGAGACAAGGCAUGAUGUCUUCUUAGAGGAAACUGGAUGCACAUAGGCUAGAAAAAUUGAUCUUGAGGAGAUUCGAACCUAUGAGCCGUUACCCAUGAGUCAGGAUUAUUAUGCUCCUAUGUCAUAUACCACAAUUACAUCUCAGGUGGUGGAAUCCCCAGUAGAAAAUGUGGGAGUAACACCUACCUUAAGUGAAAAUGUAGAUGCACCUGUAAUAAGUGAGCAUCAAAGUGAAGAUGUGGUAGAACCUACUGAUGGAUUGCAACGGGAGGCCACUGAUGAGCCCGAGGUGGUUCAGUAGGAACCUGCUCAAGUAGAAGCACCGCAGGUAGUAGCACCACAUCAUCUGAGAAGGUCAACGUGUGAUAGGAAGUCCACCCUUUCCGAUGAGUAUGUGUACAUAAGUGAAGAGGGACACGACAUGGGGAAGGUGGAUGACCCAAACUCAUUUAAGGAAGCCAUAAGAAGUGAGCACUCACAUAAGUGGUGCGAGGCCAUGGAAGAAGAGUUGAAGUCCAUGGAAGCAAAUAGAGCAUGGGACUUAGUAGAAAUUCCUGAAGGAGCCAAGACAAUAAGCUGUAAAUGGAUCUACAAAACUAAAUAUGACUCUAAAGGGAAGAUCAAAAGGUUUAAAGCAAGACUCAUGGCUAAGGGCUUCACACAAGUAGAAGGAGUCGAUUAUAACCAAACCUUCUCGCAUGUCUCAAAAAAAUAUUCAUUUAGCAUCGUUAUGGCUUUAGUAGCUCAUUAUGAUCUUCAGCUGCAUCAGAUGGACGUUAAGACUGCGUUCCUUAAUGGUGACUUGCAUGAGAAUAUGUUCAUGACGCAACAUGAAGGUUUUGUCAUGGAAGGCAAGGAACAUAUGCGAUGCAAACUAAGAAAAUCCAUUUAUGGGUUGAAACAAGCAUCCAGAUAAUGGUACCUUAAGUUUGAUGAAGUGAUUAAGAGAAUUGGCUUCAUUCAAAAUAAGAAGGAUAAUUGCGUAUAUGUUAAGACUAAGGGGAGCUCUAUAAUCAUCCUAAUACUUUAUGUGGAUAACAUCCUAUUAGCAAGCAGCGAUAAGAACUUGCUACAUGAGACAAAGGGUUUUCUCUCAUCGAACUUUGACACGAAGGACCUUAGUGAUGCUGCUUAUGUCUUAGGUAUUGAGAUUCAUCGAGACAGGUCCAAAGGUGUAUUAGGACUCUCUCAAAGAGCUUACAUAGAGAAGGUCCUUGAAAGAUAUAAUAUGCACCAAUGUUCAGGCACAGCUGCUCCAGUUGUUAAGGGUGAUAAGUUUGGGUCAUUCCAAAGUCCCAGGAAUCAAUUAGAAACUGAUCAAAUGAGAACGAUUCCUUAUGCUUCAGCUGUUGGAAGCAUAAUGUAUGCACAAGUGUGUACAUGCCCUGACUUGGCCUUUAUUAGCAAGAUGCUUGGAAGAUAUCAAUCCAAUCCAGGAAUGGGCUACUGGAAAGGAGUUAAGAAAGUUUUGUGUUAUAUGUAAUGCACUAAGAAUUACAUGCUUACGUAUAAGAGAAUUAAGAAAUUAGAGAUAAUCGGCUAUUCAGAUGCUGAUUUUGUAGGCUGUGUUGACACAAGAAGAUCCACAUCAGGUUAUUUCUUCACACUUGCAAAUGGGGCUAUAUCGUGGAAAAGCUCCAAACAAACACUAACAGCUACAUCAACAAUGCAAGCUGAGUUUGUGGCAUGUUAUGAAGCUAUGGGGCAAGCUGUAUGGCUUAAGAGUUUCAUCCCAGGAUUAAGAGUGGUAGACAGCAUAAGUAGGCCACUAAAUUUAUACUAUGAUAAUAAGUGAGCAGUUUUCUAUUCGAAUAACAACAAGUCAAGUGAUGCUGCAAAGCACAUUGAGAUUAAGUAUCUUGUUGUGAAAGAUAGAAUCCAAGAUUACACCAUUGAGUUAGAGCAUAUAAGUACUAAAAAAAUGCUUGCAGAUCCAUUAACCAAAGGCUUACCUCCCAUUAUAUUCAGUGAACAUGUUGCCGGCAUGGGAUUAUCGGAUAGCCUAUGAUUUUGGAGGGUCAUAAGACAACCGCCUCCCAUUAUGAUAGGUAGUUUUAUACAUUGUGGACAACAGUGUCACAGUGAGAUUUUAAUCACUAUUGUAACACAUUGUCUCCCUGCACAAUUCUGCUUUAAGAAUGGCAUAAGUUAUAGGCCUUUAGACCAAAGGAGAGAAUGUUGGAAAAUUCAGAGAUGGUCAAAAGGCCAAGAAAGAGGAAGGGGAGGAUAAGGAAACACGCCCAAGACUCGGACUCGCGACUGCCACCUCGCGCCUUGAUCAGAGGCGCAACCAACUCGUGGUUGCGGCCCCAAGUCGCCUAGCGCCACAAUAAAAAGGGGGGCUCGACUAGUUUUGAGGCUAACCUAAUGAAGGCUAAACCCACGCAUGCCCCCUAACAUUGCCAUCGCGAUCUUUGGCGGCACUGGAGCCAUCUGAAGGCCACCGCUGUCCUACUAUCGCCGUCUCUUGGCCAAACAAGGUGGAGGCCAGAGGGUCGACGUAAUCUCCUACGAGCCAGUACAACUAUGGCAACGGCAUCCCUAGCUUCGUCCCUGACUCUCAUGGUUGGGUCAUCACACAAUGUUGCUGCCGGUUGUGCUUCUAAUCUUUACUAAGAUGUGUUCAUGUUCUAGGUGUUAAGGUCCUGAUUUUUGUUAAUCUAAGCAAUGUUGAUUGCUACACUCCCACUCCACGCAGGUACAAAGCAUGUUCUAAGAUGCUCCGCUGGAACUUAAGUGACACGAACGACGCGUCCAACUUGGCGUACCAGGCCCGCGGUGCUUGACGAAGUCCAUAGAGUGCCUUGGUCAGGCACAUAACCUUGUGUUGCUGGCCCAUGACAUCGAACCCGAGCGGCUGGACCACGUACGCCUCCUCCUGCACCUCACCAUUGAGAAAGGCAGACUUGACAUCCAUAUGAUGGACAUCCCAUCCUUCGCUCGCCGCGUGUGCAAGUAGCAAGCGCACUGACUUAGUCUUGCCACCGGAGCAAACGUGUCAUCGAAGUCGAUGCCCUACUGUUGCACAUACCCUUUUGUCACGAGCCACGCUUUGUGCUUGAUGAUGUUCCCUGUGGCGUCCUUCUUCAUCUUAAAGACCCAUUUGAGUCCGAUCGGGUGCUUGCAAAGAGGAGGAUCAAUGAGCUGCCAUGUUCCGUUGGAUUAAAUCGAUUUCAACUCCUCGGCCAUUGCUUCCUGCUAGCAGUGCUCUUGUUGCACCUCUGCCAGCGUCACCGGCUCCUCGGUGCUCACUAGCAGCAAGUCUUCCUCAAGCUCCCAUGUUGUAAACCCCGACGGUGAAGCCAGGCCUAGCAUGUUGUCGACAUGGCGGAACCACAGGGGCGCAUCGUCAUGGUCAUCGUACUACUCCUGGAGGCGGGGACACAAACUGGACUGGUGAGAGGUCAGUUCUGGUUGAGGCCAUCGGUACUGCAAGUGUACACGGACUUGGUGCCGCUGUUGGUGUAGGCUGCUCCACGAUGUUCAUCUUGAUGAUGACGCGCGGCUGGAACAUGGUGUUGUACUUGUUGUCAUCGUCGCUCACAAUCUCAUCUCCGCUCCACCGCCACUGAGCUAGCUCAUCGAAGAUCACGUCUCUACUAAUGUGGAUGCGUCUGGUGGCCGGGUCGUAGACUCAGUACACCUUUGAGCCUAGUUCAUAGCCAACGAAGAUCAUCGGCUUGCUCCUGUCAUCGAGCUUCUUAACACUACGUGUUGUGGUCUUCACAUGUGCCACACAUCCGAAUGUGUGGAGGUCAUGUACCGCUAGCAUGCUUCAAUGCUAGAGUUCAUAGGGGGUUUUGCCUCUGAUGCUCUUGGACGACGAUCUAUUCAGGAGAUAGACAGCGGUAGUGACCGCCUUCCCCCAAAACAUACAUGGCAGCCCUUUGACCUCAGCAUGCUCCUCACCGUGCCUACCACCGACUGGUUGCAGUGCUCGAUGACGCCAUUCUGUUGUGGCAUGUAUGGUGAUGUGAGCUCGCGUCGCAUGCCAAGCUCUGCGCAGUAGUCGUUGAAGUCGGUGGUGUUGAACUCUCCUCCACGGUCAGUGCGCAGAGCAAGGAGCUUCCUGCUACUCUUGCGCUCCACCACCACCUGGAUGCAUUGGAUCGCCGUCGGAGCACCAUCUUUACUCGGAAGCAAAGUGAUCCACAUGAAAUGGCUAAAGUCGUUGAUGAGAAGGAGGAAGUAGCAGUUCCCGCUCGGUGUUGCUGGCAUGAUUGGCCCACAAAGGUCGUCGUGCACAAGCUCCAGGGGCUUCCUCGCACGGCUCUACGCCUGGUGUAGGAACGCCGCAUGACGAUGCUUGCCCGUGAGGCAGGCCUCGCACACCUGCUCCACUUGUGAGAGCACGGGUAAUCCCCGCACAAGUCCCUCACGACACAUCUUGCGCAGCGCGGUGAAGUUGAUGUGCCCAAACCGAGCGUGCCACCUCCAAGCAUCCUCACCGCCGCACGCCGCGUGACACACUGGUCGUGCAAUGUCAAGGUCGAGCAUGUAGAGUCGGCUUGGAGUCCUAUGAACCUUGGUGAGGAGGCGACGAUUCUCAUCGUGGAUCUACAUCACACCAUCUUCGAUCAGUACCUGAUACCCGCGCUCAUCCAGCUGCCCAACAGUGAUGAUGUUGGCAGUCAGACACGGGAUGUAGUAGACAUUGGUGAGGCAACGGUGUUCCCUAUUCUUGCAAGCGUAGAGGAUGGUGCCGCACCCUUCGAUUUGGACGACGGACCCAUUGCCGAACCGCACUGUGCUGGUGGUGCCGCUGUCGAUGUCGAAGAAUGCGGCCCGGGACCCCGUCAUGUGGUUUGUGGCCCCAGUGUCUAGCAUCCACCAGCAUGGAUCCCGCUACUCCGAGCCUCCAAACGCGGCAAAGACCUUUGCUUCCACCAGCUCCAUGCCGCCUCACGAGCGCUGGGAGCAGACGUCCUCAGCCUGGGCCACCAGCGCCUAGGGCUCAGGUGCACCGGGCGCAAGCGGGUGACAUUCGACUGCCUUGGAGCCAGCUAUGGCCCCAGUCUAUGCGGUGAGAGGUGGCGGCGGCAAGGGGAUGGUUGCUGUGGCGGGGAUCGGUGGAGUUGCAGAUGCGGCAUUGGUGGCGUUGACUUUAGCUUGGAGAAGAAGAAGCGUGGGCUCAUCAUCUUGCGCCACAUGGGCCUGCUCUUGCUUCGGCCGGCUUCGACAGUCUUUGGCCCAGGGGCCUUUCUUGCCGCAGCUCUUGCAGACGUCGUUGGGAGCGCCCCGGCUCGAGGUCCCGCUUGAGCGCGAGUCCAUGCUGCCUCCACCGUGACCGCGUGGCUUGCCACGGCGCUUGCCGCGCCCGUUGGAGCCAAAACUGUUGUGUUCAGCCUCCUGGGUCCCUCUUCUUGUAGCGUUCGAGCCACUCCUCCUCCGAGAGGUAGAGUUUGCCACCGGCACCGGUAGCUGGGGUUGGCUCUUGCCGGUCCUUCGCUGCCUUCAAUCUGCCUGUCACUUCCUCCACAGAGAGCUUUGAUAGAUCAAGCAUCGUUUCAAUGGAAAUAGCAACUUGAGAGAACCUAGGAGGGAUGACGUGGAGGUACUUCUCGAUGACCUUCUUCUCUUCGAUUGGAUCACUGAGGGUGUCAAGCUGACUGACCAAAUCGGUGAGGUGGAGGGCAAAAUCUUCGAUAGCCUCGCCGUUCUUAAACGCGAGGGUCUCGAACUGUUGGCGCGCCUUCUGUGCUGAGGACUUGCAGAUCCGUUCGUCGCUGAUCCACAUCAUCUUGAAGCAGUCGCACGCCGCCUUGGCGGUCUUCUUGUUCCCCACGGUGGUGUACAUCUUCGGGGGGAUGCCGCUGCACACGGCCUCCAGUGCCAUGCAGUCUUCGACGUAGUCAUCGGUGCCGUGCUUGACUGCAUCCCAGAGUCCGCGCACCUGGAGCUUGAUCCUCAUCAUCACAGCCCAUUGCUCGUAGUUGUUCUUCGUCAGGAUGGGGGUAGUUUGCCAAUCCUCCCGCCUCCUUGACCACGCGUUGAAUCACCAGCCCGUGGUUAUGGUUCCUGCCGCUGCCCGAGGUGCGGCCGCCGAAAGCUGACGGAGGGGAGGCGCUACAUCUGCGAGGCAUGGAGAUGCUCUCGAGAGUGUGAUCACGGACCCACAACCUGUAUCUGGCUCUGAUACCAAUUGUCAGAGAUCACAAGACGAUGAACGCCGGCGAGUUCCCAGGAACACACGAACACGAGUAGAUGCAAGAGGAUUUUGAGCUGCGAUGAAGCUGCAGCUUUUCUGUUGUUGUAUUCUCCCUUUUAUUGACUGAGUACAACUGAAAAGAAAAUGAGCGCAGCAAGCGCUUCUCUCGCCGCGACCAUGCCGCGUCCAUCCCCAUGAGGCACGACGCGAGCUAUUCUCGCCAUGACCUGAACUGACAUGCAAGGCCAUCACACAACUCGUGGGCUCAUGCAUGUGACAAACACAACACAAAAUAAAGUAACUAAGACACGUACAAGAUUUGGUUAACAGUGGUCGUCUCACUCCUCGUGCACGGCCCUCAGGAAAGCCUGCAUCAUCUCGAGAUCUUAUCUGGCUGUAAGCUGGCACAUCUCGAUCGAGGACAUUGUGAAGGCAGAUUAAUACAGGAGUAGCUCUGGGGCCAGUGUUCAUGUGGCCCUGCGCAGCUCGAUGAAUUUGUGAAGAUAGGUUAAUUAAAGCAAGAGUAUGUUUAGGGCCAAUGGACGGCCAUGUGACCCGGAAGAACCUCCACCCGAUCGACCCAGAUCAUUAUGAAGCCAGAAAUGAUUAAUGUUAAUCCUCUGUUUACUUCAGGCAUUUUUGUACAGGUAGCUUUUAGGAUGUCUAAAAAACGGAUGCCUUCAUCAAAAGAAAAAAGCCCAGAUGCACAAGACGUACAAAAAUCCCAGAAGCACAGAAGCUGGAACAGAUACUAGAUCCUAAUACUUGUAAGAGAGAUCCUAUUAAAAAAAUGAAGGUUCUAAAAAAAUAUAUGAAAACAUGACUUGCAUUGUAUUGGGUAAACGGAGAGGAUCGGAGGGCACAUGGACCCCGGGAGAACCUGCACCAGAUCAUAUCAUUAUGAAGCCAGAAACAAUUAAGAUUAAGACUUAUUGUGCGAGAGAGCAACUAAUUAAAAACACGACUUGCGUUUGGUAAACGGAGAGGAAGGACGACUUGGCAUUUGUUUUAAGAGUGCAUCGAGAUCGGAGUUGCGAGCAGAACCGACCAGAAACACCGCAUCCUCAUCCAACUUGAAAGUUGAAACCACAAAGCACUGGUAGAUGGCAAGCAUCAAUGAAGAAGAAGCUCCUAGUUCUCCAAAUGCUCCGACAGUAGCCAUGGACGCCAAGCUGAUGGUGGCCGCAGACCGUGGCGAUGUCAAGAAGUUGAAGGGUCUGCUGAACAAGGAGGAUGCCAUGGCGAUGGUUGUGGUGACGGCGGCGACGAGCAAGAAGCCUUCCAAGGAGGACCAGUUCCCUGCUGGCCGCAUCAAUCCCCUCCUGCUGGCAUCUGCGUGCGUUGGCUCCUGGAAAGCACUGAACUUCCUUCUCGAGAGGGAAGACGCAAAGAAGGCACCAAUGGUGGCUCCUACUCAAGAAUUCCUUGAGUUGCUAGCAGGAGGCAGCGGCACCAAGGGAAGAAUUGCGGUGUCAGCUGCUGGUGAUGUAGAAGAGGGCGUUGACCACGAGCCUGCUCCGCCUGCAGCAGGAGCACUUCUCAAGGGCGUCACUCCAGAUGGGGACACAGCACUACAUGCAGUUGCCAGCAAUGGAGACAACGGCGAUGAUUUCUUGAAGUGUGCUGGCAUCAUCUGUGAUCGGGACAGGGACCUCCUGUUUGCGAAGAAUCACAUGGGCGACACACCCUUGCAUUGUGCUGUCCGUUCUGGGAGCUCCAAAAUGGUUUCUCGUCUCAUUGCUCUAGCUGAACAUGAGGGUGCCGAAGGGAAGCUCAAGCUCUUGAGAAUGGAGAACGAGCGUCACGAGACGGCACUGCAUGAGGCUGUCCGGAUUGAAGAUGGUAGAAUUCUGGAUGAUCAGGAGACACUUUAUGCUGUCCUAACUGAUGAAGACAUUAGAAGCCCGGGUCAUAAGGGUGAUGCUGACGGCGGCGGUGCACCAGAAGAGAAGAAUAUGGUCAGGCUGCUUAUGGGUUCUGAUCCCGAAUUGGCUAAUUAUCCUGCCAAAGGCAUUUCGCCUUUGUGCCUAGCCAUCUUGCUGGAGAAGGAUACCAUUGCAGUCACCCUUUAUAAAAAGAGUGGCGGCAAUCUCUCCUACUCUGGACCAGAUGGACAAAAUGCACUGCAUGUUGCGGUUCUCGGAGCUACUAGUACAAACACAGGUACCAACUAGAUGUGUCAAUUCUGUUAUAUAUACAUACUGCUUGCAUACCAUUUUUGCUUGUCAUAGGGCCAAUACAAUACAAAUAAUGGUUUAGAAUCAACAUGAUUAAACAGUAAUUCUGCCUUAGAGUUCAUUUAUCUGAAAAAGAACUAUCAUGGUCGUGUUUUCUUUUUCCACAGAUCAAAAAGAUGAUCUUGAGUCGUUGCACUUUAACAUUAUGUUUUGGGAUUUUUAAUUUACAUACAUCCCCAUUUUAUACCUUUUUUUCUCUGUGACACUUACCUAUGUCUUUUUUCACAUGUUUUGACCAAUGUCGUUUAUUCAUUAACACCCAGUAUGUAAGUUAAUGUCUCAUCUGUAAUCAUCUCUACAUAUCACAUUGUUGAUUUCCUCUAUAUAAGGGAGAAGUCCAUUCUUGAGCAUCCCACUCUUGUCAAAGUUCGAUUUUGGCCAUCCGAUUCAGAAACCAAAAUCCAUUGACCAACGAACGAGCAAAACUGGACAAAUUUGGUCAUCUUGCUGGUUUAGAAGGUGCUUAUUUGGAUCUUAUUUGUUCAUGUUCCUAAUGUAUUAUUGCUCAUAAUCACGCCUAUUAUUUAUUGAAUUUAUAGUUUUGUGUUACAUUAGACCUAGAGAUCAACCAAGAGGAUCUAGCGACUGUGAGUAUACAAAAGAUCUGGAAGAUGACAUGAACCUCUCCGGUGCCAUGCUCUACCACAUGCAAAACAUAUUUAGGUAUGGCAACUAGCAUGCCUUCGCUAGCCCUCCAAAUAAGAUUUAGUUAAUUUGACUCCAACAGAUUUGGUUCCCUACGUGGAGUAUGGAUCCUUUUAGUUGAUCUUCAGGUCUAAUAUAGUGUGAAAUUAUAAUUCAAAUAAAUAAAAGGGUGUGACUACGAGCAAUAUAACCCCAGAAAUUUGAACAAAUAAGAUCAAAAUAGCUCCUAAUUGAUCACCAACAGAUAGAUUGUAGCUUUAUAAAAAACAAUUUUGUGCUACAUAUUUAUCUGAUUUGAAAUAAGUUAGUUAUAAAUUUUCAGAGAUUAGCCCAACUUUUUAAUUUUAGAAAAUAUGUGUAGGGAGAACAACAUUCGAAACAAGAUAGAUGGCCAAAUUUGUCUUAUUUUGGUAGCCUAGAUGCUCAAUGAUUUCAGGUUUUUGAGUUGGAUGGUCAAAAUCAGACUCCAGCAAAAGUUGGAUGGCCAAAGGUGGACUUCUCCCAUUAAAUAAUUCCCGUUAUUUGGAGAGCUAUUGAGAUUUAGAUAAUAUAUAUAGGCACCCUCAAGCUCAAUUUUUUUUCAUUAACAUAAAAAUCAUAUUCGCAGUGAUGGUAGAAGUACUACUUAGAUUGAACAGGAGCCUUCCUACACAAGGGGACAAACAUGGGAGUACGCCUCUUCACUUCGCUUCGUCUCUGCACCAGGAUUCAUCUGGUUUCUUCUGGUGCCCUCCUUGGAUUCGUAAUUAUUGGCGUACCAGGAUUUCCAACAUAGUCGCAAAAGUAUUUGAAGCUAACCCAGCAGCUCUGUACCCCAUACAUGUCGCUGCCUCCGUAGGUACCACGAGUACCGUAGAAUUUUUUCUUCAGAAGUCUCCCAGUAGUGCUGGAUUGCGCAAUGCUAAAGGAAGGACGUUUCUUCAUGUUGCCGUUGAGAAAAGAAGACGGGAGAUAGUCUCAUUUGUUUGUCAGACUCCAUCUGCAGAAUGGAUUUUGAAUAUGCAGGACAAGGACGGAAACACGGCACUGCACUUAGCUAUCAAAAGAAGGAUGCACUGCACUGAAUAACAUUCAGAAUUUUCUCCUUCUGUGGGCCCAUUCUGAAUUUGUCGCUUCUGUGGCUGUUUUUUUUUCAGACCGCUGAAAGCCGGAUACAUAUGGUUCUCAAAUUAUUCGGUGCAAAGCACAGUGGUCUUCGCUGUGAUCACAUUGAGCAAAAGCAUAGACGUCCCUUGAACCAAAAGGAGAAGAAGAAAGAAUCGAAUUUGAUUAAAGAUACAACGCAGAUGUUUAUUGUCGUUGCAAUCCUGAUAGCAACUGUGGCUUUCGGUGCAACUUUCGCCAUUCCUGGAGGUUACAAAGCAGAUGAUCAUUUGAAUGGAGGCACACCAACACUUGCUGGAAGGUAUAUUUUCGACGCAUACAUGAUGGCCAACACGUUGGCUUUUGUUUCCUCCACCGUAGCUACUGUUGCCCUCGUAAUAUCUGGAACUACUAUGGUUGACUUGGGCACCCGGCAAUGGAACUUGAUUGCAGCUGUUUAUCUGUUGUCGAGUUCAGUCACAAGCAUGACGGUUGCUUUUGCACUUGCUGCGUAUAUGGUGCUAGCUCCGGUUGCUCGUAGCACUGCUAUUGCGAUAUUUAUGAUUAGCCCUCUCCCUGUGCUAUAUAGAAAUGUGGAUAGAAUAUUUAAAUGGGGUCUUCUUGCACGGGCGCGACUUGUUAGGAAGGGACCAAUCCCAACAAUAUUGAAUUUUUUCGGAAUGGCGGUCUUUGGCACGAUACUGAUGGAUCUUUGGCCCCUCAUUGUUACCUUUGCUUGGGCUGCAUUUGCAAGGAUCCACCACUGAUUGGGGAGAACCGCGAAACAGAUGAGAAGGGAUGAGGCAUUUGCAAGUAUAAGCAUUUGACACCUCUCCUAUUUAAAUGCAUGUUCUUGCGAUGGGGGGCAGAGCAACGAGCGCCCCAGAGUGGAGGACGAAGAGGAGAGAGGAGAGGCGGUGGGGCGGCUUUUCUGGGGCACAGUGCAGGCGCACCGGGGGCAGGGCGCUAGGAGCGGCACGGGCGCAAGGCGGCUGGGCGCGACGACGCCGGCGAGCAGCAUGCCAGGGCGCACGGCUGCAGGCCUGCUGACGGCAGGCAGGCGGCAGCGAGCGCGGCGCAGAAUUAGUCCAGCAGGCUGGAGCAGUGCAGCACCAGUUUGGGAGAAAUCGAGCAAGUACUAAGGUACCCAGGUAUUUAAAUGCGAUUCUCUCUACAAUUAGCCCCUGUUCUGUUGUAAUUUUUAGAUGUUCAGCAUUUGAUUAAGAAUUUGAUGGCAUAUUGCCAUUGGUCAAGAACUUAAAAUGUCAAGAGCACAUCUCGUCAAGAGAACCAAAAAAAAAAAGGAAAAAAAACGUGGGCACACAAACGCAACUGGGAUAGAGGCGCACACACACUCACCACCCAGGAUAGUAGGAUAAUGACAUGACACACUGUACCGAUUCAGAAUUGUUCAGGUGCAUACAUCAAUGGUUCAAUACAGGAGCAAGAGAAAUGAAAAAUUGACAGAGGCAUGCGUCAAUUGUCCAGAUACAAUUGCAUAGAGGAAAUGGAUAAGUCCGGUGACAAAUCCAGGAUUUGGAGUAUUUACAGUGGCACCACAGAAAUUACCAUCUUUUUUUUAUCAAAACAGGCCGGUUUGGGCUCUGGGCAAGCUGGGCCCGCACGUCUUCCACGAAUGCUUCACUGCCCUCGAAGCUACUGUUGCUCAGCUCAAAUUUCUUGAGGCUUUGUAGGGAUGCUAGCCCAGAAAACAACCCAGCAUUCAUUAUUCCAUCACGGCCACUGUGACCAGAGUCUAACAUCUCAAGCUUAGGCGCUGUUCCGUCUUUAAACUGCACAGAUUUGACGUCGAUCUCACCUCCUGAGCAUCUCUGUACGCCAGUCAGUUGCAGCGCCACUAGAGUAGUUCUGUUGUUGAUCAGUCGAAUGAGAUCUGCUUUGGACUUGUUCUGUUG